rnacentral:ncRNA from 1 species
UGAAUCCGCGCGGGAGAGUCCCCAGCACCGCAAGAGCUGGGGCGCCGAAGGAGCAAGUCCCUCCCUUGAAUCUCUCAGGCCCCGUUACCGCGCGGGCGAG